rnacentral:rRNA from 1 species
CCGCCUGGGGCGCUAAGGUAGCAUAGUAAUUUGUUUCUUAAUUAGAUAAUAGUAUGAACGAAUACCCCCCUUAUAAAUUUAUUAUAAAGGGAAUUACUCAAAUUAAAAUUUUGAUGAAAAUUUCAAAAUCUAAAACCUAGACGAUAAGACCCUAUGAAGCUUAACUAAAAAGGCCAAACCUUUUAUACCCCCACCUUAUUGGUUUAAUUGGGGCAAUGACUAAUAAAAAUAUUAUAACACUGUUUAAUUUUAUAGAUCCUAAAGGGACCUUAUGAGUAAGCUACUCUAGGGAUAACAGCACCAUAGUUAAAAGAGCUCUUAUUAGAAUAACUGUUUGUGACCUCGAUGUUGAAUUAAAAUUCCCGCAUGUGCAGCCGCUUGUGGUAGUUUAGUCUG